CCUCUAGGGGGCGGAGACUAUAAAGAUGCUCGUGCACUAAAUUCAGGUUUGUACUCAGGAAUACUAGUCACUGUUUUCCGUGGCUCUGUCAGUCUCUCUGAUUUGAUCCAGGAGGUUAACAAAGGGAGACCAGGUGAAAACUAAGCUCGGCAUCUGUCAAAAGUCCAAGGAUGAGGAAAGCAUCACCAGACCCGACAGGAUCAUGUAUCUGCAAAAGGAUUUCCAUCGCCGCAAAUCCGCAUCACACUUCAGCUUGUGUUGUUCAGCUUUAACCUGGAAUAAUAUUCACAUUUAUCAUUUAGCAUGCGUAUUAUAACAAGUGCCUUGGUUUCUGGUUCUGGAUUAGUGAAGAGCUUGUGGAAGAGAUGUGUUGUCAUCUGUUUCCUGAAGAUAGAGAUGUUCUCAUCAGAUCAGAUGAAGGCUUCUGAGGGAACCGCUAGGUGGCGCUCAUUCAUUGUUAAACUUUCUCUAUACAUUUAUUCAGUUCAGCAAUAACCU